rnacentral:rRNA from 1 species
CGCGAAUGGCUCAUUACAACAGCUAUAAUUUACUUGAUCUUGACAAUCCUACUUGGAUAACUGUGGUAAUUCUAGAGCUAAUACAUGCACCAAAGCUCCGACCGUAAGGGAAGAGCGCAUUUAUUAGAACAAAACCAAGCGGCUUCGGCCGUCCAAUGUUGACUCAGAAUAACUAAGCUGAUCGCAUGGUCUUGUACCGGCGACGUGUCUUUCAAGUAUCUGCCUUAUCAACUUUCGAUGGUAGUGUAUCUGACUACCAUGGUGAUGACGGGUAACGGAGGAUAAGGGUUCGACUCCGGAGAAGGGGCCUGAGAAAUGGCCACUACGUCUAAGGAUGGCAGCAGGCGCGCAAAUUACCCACUCUCAGAACGAGGAGGUAGUGACGAGAAAUAACGAGACCGUUCUCUUAAGAGGCCGGUCAUCGGAAUGGGUACAAUUUAAACCCUUUAACGAGUAUCUAUGAGAGGGCAAGUCUGGUGCAGCAGCCGCGGUAAUUCCAGCU